GAAAAGAAACUAACAAGGAUUCCCCUAGUAACUGCGAGUGAAGCGGGAAAAGCUCAAAUUUAAAAUCUGGCAGUCUUUGAUUGUCCGAGUUGUAAACUAGAGAAGUGUUAUCCGCGCUGGACCGUGUAAAAGUCUCCUGGAAUGGAGCAUCAUAGAGGGUGAGAAUCCCGUCUUUGACAUGGACUACCAGUGCUUUGUGAUGCGCUCUCAAAGAGUCGAGUUGUUUGGGAAUGCAGCUCAAAAUGGGUGGUAAAUUCCAUCUAAAGCUAAAUAUUGGCGAGAGACCGAUAGCGAACAAGUACCGUGAGGGAAAGAUGAAAAGAACUUUGGAAAGAGAGUUAAACAGUACGUGAAAUUGCUGAAAGGGAAACGCUUGAAGUCAGUCGCGUUGGCCAGGAAUCAACCUUGCUUUUGCUGGGCGUACUUUCUGGUUGACGGGUCAGCAUCAAUUUUGACUGCUGGAAAAAGUUCAAGGGAAUGUGGCAUCUUCGGAUGUGUUAUAGCCCUUGUUCGCAUACAGCAGUUGGGAUUGAGGAACUCAGCACGCCGCAAGGCCGGGUUUCGACCACGUUCGUGCUUAGGAUGCUGGCAUAAUGGCUUUAAUCGACCCGUCUUGAAACACGGACCAAGGAGUCUAACAUGCCUGCGAGUGUUUGGGUGGAAAACCCAAGCGCGCAAUGAAAGUGAAAGUUGAGAUCCCUGUCGUGGGGAGCAUCGACGCCCGGACCAGACCUUUUGUGACGGAUCCGCGGUAGAGCAUGUAUGUUGGGACCCGAAAGAUGGUGAACUAUGCCUGAAUAGGGUGAAGCCAGAGGAAACUCUGGUGGAGGCUCGUAGCGAUUCUGACGUGCAAAUCGAUCGUCAAAUUUGGGUAUAGGGGCGAAAGACUAAUCGAACCAUCUAGUA
rnacentral:rRNA from 1 species